rnacentral:rRNA from 1 species
UAUUGGACAAUGGGUGAGAGCCUGAUCCAGCCAUCCCGCGUGCAGGAAGACGGCCUUAUGGGUUGUAAACUGCUUUUAUACAGGAAUAAACCAUCUUACGAGUAGGGUGUUGAAGGUACUGUAUGAAUAAGCACCGGCUAACUCCGUGCCAGCAGCCGCGGUAAUACGGAGGGUGCAAGCGUUAUCCGGAUUUAUUGGGUUUAAAGGGUCCGCAGGCGGGCCUGUAAGUCAGGGGUGAAAUCCGGCAGCUUAACUGUCGAACUGCCUUUGAUACUGCAGGUCUUGAGUCCCGGAGAGGCCAUUAGAAUUCGUGGUGUAGCGGUGAAAUGCGUAGAUAUCACGAGGAAUACCGGAAGCGUAGGCGGAUGGCUGGACGGCGACUGACGCUCAGGCACGAAAGCGUGGGGAGCGAACAGG